UGUCCACAAACAAUCAGUGGUUCCAUUGUCUGUGGGAACAAGUGGGGAGAUCCCACCAGACUCCUCCUUCACAGCUCUUCCUCAUGGGCCAGCCUCCCUGUGGCCUUCAAUGGUAGUGAAGCAAACUUUGUCACUCACUGAAUGCACCUUGGUGGGAACCAAAGGGAAGGACCUGUCCCCUACCUAGCCUCAGGUCCAGAUCACGAGACCAAGCCCCCACCCCUGUAAGCACGUUUGUCGGUUACACCUGGCUGAGGCCCUGUGCCACCGGAAGAGAGGCCUCAGUGAUCAAGGUUGGGACACAGAACCCCAAGUUAUGACUGUGUGAGACCAGACUACAGCUCUCCAAAUGUUUCUUUGGCCUAUUCUGAGGUAAUGAGUUUGGAAAGACCAAGUGUGACCACUGUGGCUGGAAGCAACUUAAACCCACGAAGAGACUCCGCCUUGUCUUCACCAUUGAGAGGGGCUGAGAAUUCCAUCACCUGGAAGGCUCUAUCUUCCUAAGGAACCAGCUCUUACCCAGCAUGCAUCUCUGUCCUAAACAUAACACCACUCUUACUCCUUUCCCAGGCUUAAUAGUCUUCAGAGAGGCAUCCUUGUCCUUGUGGGAGUUUGCAGCCCAGGAGAGGGUUGCUUGCACAGAGCGCGUGGUGGUCAGACGUAUCUUUCUGAUUGGAUUUGAUUUUAG